GACCCUAGCCAACAGUAUUGCCCAUAUAUUGGACUUUGCACUUGCUCUUGUUGAACAUUAUGAGGCUCUGGUCAGCCUGUCUAUCUAGCCUGUGCAGGCAGCUCUAAAGAACACCCUGAUCCUCCAGCAUGCCAACCACUGCCCUCAAUACAGUGGCAUCUGCAGACUUGAGAUUGCAUUCUGUUCCAUCAGACAGAUACUGACUGCAACAAUCUGCUCCUAGGCCCAGACUGUCUGAGACAACUAGAAAAUGAGAUGAGCAGCACUGCUGAAAAAGGUGGAAGUUCGAUGCAUCUGCAGAUGCCACAGACUGUGAAUAGCCUGCAACCUACUAACACAUCAGCCAAAGCAACAGGAACAUAGCAAGAGAUUAUUGACAAACACUCAUGGAAAAAAGACUGAUCAUCCAA